UCCCGAAAAUAUAAAAAUAAUUAAAAAUGGGACUAGAAAUGCCUACCAUGCAUUAGCUGAAAGUUGGAAGCUUCUUCCAUGGCUUCUCAAGCCUUCAUAUUCGGCUAGUAAAAAGAGAAUGAAAAAGAUGACACCUUGAUUCUUUUAUUAUAUUCAUUUUAUUAUUAUUUUUAACCAAUUUACAAUAUUAACCUUUAUACACUUUAUUUAUUACACCAAAUGCCAAGCCAUCAUAUCCCACUAUCUCUUUCAUGGGCUAAUUACCAAAUAAGGACUUCUACUUUUAAGUUCUAUAUCUAUUUAAUACCUUUAG
rnacentral:lncRNA from 1 species